rnacentral:rRNA from 1 species
UACAGAGGUCUCAAGCGUUGUUCGGAUUCAUUGGGCGUAAAGGGUGUGUAGGUGGCGCCGUAAGUCGGGUGUGAAAUUUCGGAGCUUAACUCCGAAACUGCAUUCGAUACUGCCGUGCUUGAGGACUGGAGAGGAGACUGGAAUUACGGUGUAGCGGUGAAAUGCGUAGAUAUCGUAAGGAAGACCAGUGGCGAAGGCGGGUCUCUGGACAGUUCCUGACGCUGAGGCACGAAGGUCAGGGGAGCAAACGGG